rnacentral:ribozyme from 1 species
AUGGUGCGCAAUAGACUCACCUCCAUGUGGUGCACCCUGGACAACGUAUCUAAGUACGGCAAAAAUGUCUAU